rnacentral:rRNA from 1 species
CGGCGUGCUUAACACAUGCAAGUCGAACGGGUAGCCAAUACCUAGUGGCGAACGGGUGAGUAACGCGUAGAUAACCUGCCUUUAAGUUGGGGACAACAACUCGAAAGGGUUGCUAAUACCGAAUGUUGUUUUUAAAUCGCAUGGUUUUAAAACUAAAGAUUUAUCGCUUAAAGAGGGGUCUGCGUCCGAUUAGGUAGUAGGUAGGUAACGGCUUACCUAGCCGACGAUCGGUAACCGGUCUGAGAGGAUGAACGGUCACAUUGGGACUGAGACACGGCCCAGACUCCUACGGGAGGCAGCAGUGGGGAAUAUUCCACAAUGGGGGAAACCCUGAUGGAGCGACGCCGCGUUGAAUGAAGAAGGGCUUCGGCUCGUAAAGUUCUUUUGCAGUUGACGAAUGUACUAUUAGAUAGUAAGGGACGGUAAACUGCGAAUAAGCCACGGCUAACUACGUGCCAGCAGCAGC